UACGUAGGGGGCAAACGUUGCUCGGAAUUACUGGGCGUAAAGGGUGAGUAGGCGGCUGUGCAAGUCAGGGAUGAAAUCCCGCGGCUUAACCGCGGAACUGUCUUUGAAACUGCACGGCUUGAGGACAGUAGAAGAGAAUGGAAUUCCCGGUGGAGCGGUGAAAUGCGUAGAUAUCGGGAGGAACACCUGAGGCGAAAGCGAUUCUCUAUACUGCUCCUGACGCUGAGUCACGAAAGCCAGGGGAGCAAACGGGAUUAGAUACCCCGGUAGUCCUGGCCAUAAACGAUGGAUACUGGAUAUUCCUGCAGUUGUGUGGGAGUGUCUAAGCUAACGCGUUAAGUAUCCCGCCUGGGGAGUACGGUCGCAAGGCUGAAACUCAAAGAAAUUGACGGGGGCCCGCACAAGCAGUGGAGCAUGUGGUUUAAUUCGACGCAACGCGAAGAACCUUACCUAGGCUUGAACCGGCAGCAGUAGAAACCCGAAAGGGGGACGAUUCCGGUUUACCGGAAAACUGCCAGAGGUGCUGCAUGGCUGUCGUCAGCUCGUGUCGUGAGAUGUUGGGUUAAGUCCCGCAACGAGCGCAACCCUUGUCUUUAGUUGCCAGCGAGUCAUGUCGGGCACUCUAAGGAGACUGCCUCGGACAACGGGGAGGAAGGUGGGGAUGACGUCAAGUCAGCAUGGCCUUUAUGUCUAGGGCUACACACGUGCUACAAUGGACGGUACAGAGGGAAGCAAGACCGCGAGGUGGAGCUAAUCCUUAAAACCGUUCUCAGUUCGGAUUGGAGGCUGCAAUUCGCCUCCAUGAAGUCGGAAUUGCUAGUAAUCGCGGAUCAGCUACGCCGCGGUGAAUACGUUCUCGGGCCUUGUACACACCGCCCGUCACAUCACGAAAGCUGGUUGUGCCCGAAGUCGCUGAGCUAACCGCAAGGAGGCAGGCGCCGAAGGCAUGGUCGGUGAUUGGGGUG
rnacentral:rRNA from 1 species